AUUGAACGCUGGCGGCGUGCUUAACACAUGCAAGUCGAUCGGUAACGCGGGGGCGACCCUGGCGACGAGAGGCGGACGGGUGAGGAACGCUUGGGAAUCUGCCUAUCAGCGGGGGACAACCCGGGGAAACUCGGGCUAAUACCGCAUACGCUCUACGGAGGAAAGCCGGGGACCGCAAGGCCUGGCACUGAUAGAUGAGCCCAAGUCGGAUUAGCUAGUUGGCGGGGUAACGGCCCACCAAGGCGACGAUCCGUAGCUGGUCUGAGAGGACGAUGAGCCACACUGGGACUGAGACACGGCCCAGACUCCUACGGGAGGCAGCAGUGGGGAAUAUUGGACAAUGGGGGAAACCCUGAUCCAGCGACGCCGCGUGGGUGAAGAAGGCCUGCGGGUUGUAAAGCCCUUUCGGUAGGGACGAAAGCUCUCGACCUAACACGUCGGGAGGUUGACUUAACCUACAAAAGAAGCACCGGCUAACUCUGUGCCAGCCGCCGCCGUAAAAC
rnacentral:rRNA from 1 species